rnacentral:rRNA from 1 species
UUUUUUUUAAAACCAUUUCAAAUAAAAUUAAUAUUCAAAAAUUUACUUUCAAAUCCAAUUUCAAUAAUAUAUUUCAAUAUUAAAUCCAUAAAUAAAUUUAUUGUAAUACAUUUUUACUUAAUUAUAAUCUGCACCUUGACCUGACAUUUUAUAUUAAACUAUAUUCUGAAAAAUUUUUUAUAAAAUAUUCUUUUGACGGAGAUAUACAAAACUUCAAAUUAAGUAAGAUUUUUGUGGAUUAUCAAAUUAUAAAAACAUAUUCCUCUGAAUAGAAUAAAAUGCCGCCAAAUUCUUUAGGUUUAAAAAACUUCUUUCUACUACCUAAUUAAAAUAUUUCAAUCAARA